rnacentral:pre_miRNA from 1 species
AAGGCAAGAUAUUGAUGAUGAUGAUGAUGAUGAUGAGGAUGUUCAUCAUCAUCAUCAUCAUCAUCAUCAUCAUCAUCA